rnacentral:rRNA from 1 species
GAAUGCUAAGUGUUGGAGGGUUUCCGCCCUUCAGUGCUGCAGCUAACGCAUUAAGCAUUCCGCCUGGGGAGUACGGCCGCAAGGCUGAAACUCAAAGGAAUUGACGGGGGCCCGCACAAGCGGUGGAGCAUGUGGUUUAAUUCGAAGCUACGCGAAGAACCUUACCAGGUCUUGACAUACUAUGCAAAUCUAAGAGAUUAGACGUUCCCUUCGGGGACAUGGAUACAGGUGGUGCAUGGUUGUCGUCAGCUCGUGUCGUGAGAUGUUGGGUUAAGUCCCGCAACGAGCGCAACCCUUAUUAUCAGUUGCCAGCAUUAAGUUGGGCACUCUGGUGAGACUGCCGGUGACAAACCGGAGGAAGGUGGGGAUGACGUCAAAUCAUCAUGCCCCUUAUGACCUGGGCUACACACGUGCUACAAUGGAUGGUACAACGAGUUGCGAACUCGCGAGAGUAAGCUAAUCUCUUAAAGCCAUUCUCAGUUCGGAUUGUAGGCUGCAACUCGCCUACAUGAAGUC